GCAAAGAUUACCCCUUGUACCUUUGCAUAAUGAAUUAACUAGUAUAAGACUUAACAAAAUGAAUUUUAGCUAAGCAGCCCGAAACCAGACGAGCUACUCACAAACAGUUUACCAAGAACUAACUCAUCUAUGUGGCAAAAUAGUGAGAAGAUUUGUAAGUAGAGGUGACAUGCCUAACGAGCCUGGUGAUAGCUGGUUGUCCAGAAAAUGAAUCUAAGUUCAGCUUUAAAGAUACCAAAAAUUCAAAUAAACCCCACUGUAGCUUUAAAAGUUAGUCUAAAAAGGUACAGCCUUUUAGAAACGGAUACAACUUGACUAGAGAGUAAAAUUUAACACUA
rnacentral:rRNA from 1 species